rnacentral:rRNA from 1 species
AUGACUGACGGUGGUUCACACUUUAUUCAUGGUGCUUUCCGUAAGAUGCUUGCCAAGUAUGAUGUUAACCAUAGAAUUGCAUCACCCUAUCAUCCUAAGUCUAGUGGUCAAGUUGAACUUAGCAAUAGAGAAAUAAAAUUAAUUUUGCAAAAGACUGUCAAUAGGUCCAGGAAAAAUCGGUCUAAGAAAUUAGAUGAUGCACUUUGUGCCUAUAGAACAGCAUAUAAAAAUCCUAUGGGUAUGUCUCCUUAUAAAAUGGUUUAUGGAAAAGCUUGUCAUUUGCCUCUUGAGUUAGAACAUAAAACAUAUUGGGCCGUCAAAGAGCUCAACUAUGAUUUCAAAGUUGCUAGUGAAAAGAGGUUAUUUGAUAUUAGCUAA